CGGGGAGGCGGGGAGGCGAGGGGAGUGGAGGAGGGAAGGGCGAGUGCGGCGCCGCCACCGCCGGCAACUUUGUGAGCGAGUUCAGUGCGUGCGUGAGCGAGUGAGCGAAAAAGGAGAGCGCGCGGCGGACCCACCCCGGACGCGCGGCGGCACCGGGAAGCCGGGCCGAGCGGUUCAGUUUUGAAUGUGAAUGGCAGUAAACUAAUACCCAGGAUUUCUGUAUAAGAAGCCGAUCAAGAGGACUGUACUGUCAGGUUUUGAGAGAAUACCUCAAGCUGGACUCAGAAGCAAGAUUCACUACUCACUUUGAAGUGGAAGGAGGUUAUUCACUAUUAAUAUGGAUGCUGUUGUCUAAAUUUCUGCAGCCAUGGCCCGAGAAUAUGGCUUUUCAGUUGGUACCUAUCCGUGUGAAAGACUGUUCUGACUGAGAGAUGCGUGACCUGGUCUACAGAACGUGUAACUUGCAAGGACAAUUAAGAGGGGGAGAAAGACAUUUGUGUCCUGUCUCUCCGGAGGAACUGCAAAGCAGAACCGUUCUUGUCUGUUUUACGUCCUCAAGCCGCUGUGGGUGAAGAGAUGCCGUGCAGAUCGUGUCUGAUCGAGGUGCCUCCUUCGUUGGGACGACGCCUCGUCACGGCUGCAGGCGGAUGACAGGUGCUUCUUUCUGCCUUCGCAGCAACUGCCCCGUCAGCAAUGCUUGCCUGGCUUUGGGUGAACCUGCGCUGACUGGCGGGGAUUUGACAUUUGUGGGAGCGCUGAUAGUUUACCUCGGCAGGCCUCUUGGGGUUAUUUCCAAACACUAGUCACCGGCUCUCCGCGGCAUGUUUGACCUAGGGGCGGAGAAUGGGCCGAUGAGUGCGUGUAUUCUAAGACUGCCUGAUUCGAGGAGCGUUGUAGGUUCUUUCCUUUACAAUAGACAGAUCUUCCUCGACUUAGGGAGGGCUUCCAUCCCGGUAAACCCACCCUAAGUUGAAAAUCGCCCAAGCCAAAAUGCAUUUCAUACACCCAGCCUACUGAACAUCAGAGCUCAGCCUAGCUAGCCUGCUGUAAACAUGCUCAGAACAUUCACAUUAGCCUGAAGUUGGGCAACACCCUCCGACAUAAAGCCUGUUUUACAAUAAAGUGUGUAAGCUCUCGUGUCAUUUGUUGAGCACUGUACUGAGAGUGAAAAGCAGAAUGAAUGGUUGUGUGGUUACAGAAUGGAGAUCAGUGUACUGGUUGUUUACUCUCGUGAUCGUGUCACUGCCCAGCAGCAGGAGAGGGGAUCUUAACACAUAUCACUAGCCCGGGAAAAGAUCAAAAUUCUAAAUUCCAAGUAUGCUUUCUAUUGCUUUUGGACCAUUGUAAAGUCAAAAAAUCAUUAAGUUGAACCAUCAUAUGUUGGGGGACAGUCUGCAUAUUGAUUGAAAUAGAAUUCUAUGAAAGACUGUGAUAAAGUUGAUUCAUAGAAUUUGUUUUUAGGCAUUUUGGGUUUUUUUUUUUUAAAGCACGGUAUUAUAGCUAGGCUAACAAAAAAGUUAUCAGUUAUCUUGGAAGUGAUGUCUUGGCCGAAUGGAAAAAAAAGAAGGUAGCCAUGGAAACACUUGAUUGACCCUGAUGAAAACAGUUUAAACUCUUGUUAGCAUAGAAGUCUCCUCCUUCAAAAGAGAGAUGAUAUUUAAACUUAAUUAUUGAGGCAUUUACAAUUGGAAUUAGGGUGAAAUCAAGAGUACUCAAACAUACAGAGAAAAGAAAGUCCCAAGUUGUAACUUUCGCAGCAACCAGACUUGUUUAUGUUACAAGGAAGCAAUUUCUUGUCUCCACCUCUAGUCCGUAUGUGUGUGUGUGUAUAUAUAUAUAUUUAUAUAUAAUUCACUACGCCAUAUGAGGUGAAUUAGCUCUUUUAUUGGGCCAUUUAUUAAAUGUUAAGUUCCAUCUAUUGGUGAGUAAAUCAACCUAGAGAGCAUGUUCCAUAUUGAGAAUGUUUGGCUAACCUGAGGAUUCUCGAGUUUAUUAGUCUGUGAUAUCUCCAUUUGAAGGAAAGUAAAUACAGGCCUAACUGCAUAGUUAUUUGUUAAAAGUAGCAAAACAAGUCACUGGAAGGGCAGGGAACAGAUGGGUCCUUGCGUACUUCUUUCUGUGAAAGAUAAUCCAUGUUGACACAAUGCAUGCUUCAUUCCAACAAGAGAGAUUCCAGCCGUUUGCCACAUACUCUCUCAUUCUCUUAGUCGGGUAGCGGGGUAGUAUGGCUGCUGCGCACGCUGCCUUGCGGUUCUCCUUUCAUACCUUUUCCAUCAGAUGGCAUAGAAGAAUUCCGCAUACCUGGGGACCGACUGCUGGGAGAGAGGAGACGGAGGAGACAAAGGCAGCGUCGGAGCAAGCCUACUUCCCAGCUCCCAGCUCCUUCAUUUCUCUGUUCUCCAUGCUUCACACUCUGUGAGGCUCCGCUCCUCUCCACAGGUGACCCCUCCAUCCUGUCCAGCCCAGGGGCCUCUUGCCUUCCAGAUGUUGACCCCUAGUUAUGUCCUUCCAUCUCUCCCCACUCAUCCCUUCUUUGCCUGUGAACAGCCUCCAGCUCUUUCUCUGUCCAGCACAGACCUUCCCACGUGUCUCAGGUCUCUCUCAUCCUUUCUUGUUUCCAGCACGGGGAAGACAAGGGUGGGGGAGGGCAGGUUUAUGUCACCAUUCUUUUAUACCUUUUGUCUUCAAGAUUUUUGUUUUUAUUUUUUGAGAUAAAAUAUACAUGCAAAUAAAAUGCAUAGACCUCAAGUGUUAAGAUUUGGGUUGUGUCUAGUUAUUGGCUGUUAUGCAUAAGGCCACUCUAAGCAUCCUUAUGAAGUCAUUUUGUGGGUAUGUAUUUUCAUUUCUCUGGGGUAAAUACCCAGGAGUAGAAUUGUUAGAUCAUGGAGUAGAUACAUGUUUUGCUGUUUCAGAAACCACUAACCUGUUUUUCCAGAGUGGUUGUGCCGUUUGAUACCAGCAAUUCAUGAGGUUCUAGUUGUUCCACAUUCUUACAGCAUUUGGUAUUGCCAGAUUUUGUGUUGUUUUGUUUUUCAUCUUAGCCAUUUCUGGUGGGCUAAGUGUGAAACAGUAUCUCAUUGUGAUUUUCGUUUGUUUUUUCCUGAAGU